rnacentral:tRNA from 1 species
CGGCGGCUAGUAUAACACAAUACCCCUAGUUUCGGCCUAGAAGACCCCGGCCGAUGCGCUUGGGCCGCCGC